ACGGAAAGGGAUAUGAAUGCACCUUCUUAUACAAGUUCAUCAGGUUGGAUUCAUCAAAAGGGAGAUAACCAGCAAGCAUUUCAAAAAGAAUUACCCCACAGGACCAUACAUCUGCAGGGGCUCCCUCGUAACCUUUGCCUUUAAUUCAGUUUUAACCCGACAUACCUCGUGUAUCCUGACGAUGUAUGGGUGAUGCAAAAGUUUCAUAGUUCUGAUUUCUCUCUGAACCUGGAGGAUGAAUGGAUUGAGUUGAGAAUCGAGAUUUAUCAUACGAAAAAGAGCAAAAAAGUCCCGGGGGAGGAUUUAUUAGCGAGAUGCAGGAGGAGGAGAAAAAAGAAGAAGAUGACGAGUUCAUUUUUGUUGUUAAAAUAUUCUAUGAUUGGUCUUUUUAACGUGGUUCAAUGGAUUAUGGAUCUGUUAAUGAUUUGAGAUAAUGGUGAGAAUUGAGAAGGUCAAGUGUUGGCUGUUUGGUAAGACUUGAGUCUAUGAAGAAGGCCAUGUGCUAACUAACCUACACUCCAUUUUGAAUGGAAGUUGUAUAUUAUUAUUAUUAUUAUUAUUAUUAUUAUUAUUAUUAUUA